CUUCUUCUGCUUCGCCGAGCCGCAGUCUGCCAGUCAUGAUGUGACGUCAGGCGACCGGUCGGCUCGGACGGAGGUCGAGAGCUACCUCCGCGAGCCAGGACCGCACUCAGCCACCUCACCACCAUCCUGGCGUACUGGGCGUCACCGACCACGAAAGCCCAGUUCCCGCGGCUGUGCCGCGUCGCAAGGCGUCUCCUGGCUGUGCCAGCGUCUAGCACACCGUCAGAGAGAGCCUUCUCUGUCGCCGGACGCGUGGUGGAGGACAGGAGGACGAGGCUGCUACCGUCAUCCGUGGAUGAUAUCCUCUUCCUCCAUGGUGUGCAGUGUGCACCGACGUGAAACGUGAGAGCCAAACCUGAGCCGCUGCUGGAAGCAGAGCAGAGUGCAGACCCAGUUUCAACGUUGUAGAGUACCGGAUCGACG